GCCCAGCUAGCUCAGUCGGUAGAGCAUGGGACUCUUAAUCCCAGGGCUGGGGGUUCAAGGCCCACGUUGGGCA
rfam:TPA: Bos taurus chromosome 10, whole genome shotgun sequence.